GAGAGGAUGGCAUUGGAGCGCCGAAUACCAAUGAAAUUAUCAGCGCUGAAAGACCUUCUCAUAGCAGCUCUACACACGUCUUUGUAUUCGUCGUCACACAAUCUGGAAAUGGCCUAGGAAAGUCAAUCAGGCCACCCACAAAGACAGGUUCACUGUCAAGCGGGCACUUCGAGAGUCUGCUGGAAUUACCUCUCUGGCUCAUCCUGCUUCCCACCCUUGGGGCCCUUCACCAGAGCCAGAUUGGAAGCCUGGCGUUUCAUGCCCAUGUGAGCGUGCCAUCCGUGAGGAGAACCUGCCUAGUUAACUCAAGGCCCCACAAAGUGCCGCUGUGUUUGCUGAGUGCCCUGGGUGAGGCCCCAGGGAUGCUUCCCGGACUACCUGAGAGGUUCUACAAAGACUUUGCUCAGCCAAGCCAAGGCCAGAGGCCAGGUCACAGUUGUAAGUCAGAUAUUUCUGUUAGUCUGAUAUUUCUACUCUGCCCGUGUGAAUUUCCAACCCAAUUUUGGUCACAGGAAUGAAAGGACAUCUGAGCAAAGGGCAUUCUAAAGACACGCAUUGUAUUAUUACCUUCCCACUUGUCAAGGGCAGCACAUACAGCCCAGUGUCGACUUCAACUGUUCAGUAAAUGCUUGAGUGCCUAUCACGUGCAAUGUUAACUACAAGACUGGUGGUGGUUGCAUGGCGAUUUUACAUAACGCUUGAGUGUGUAAAAUUCUGGUAAGACUGAGCACAUCUUUACCUUCUCUUCAGAGUCCCCAGUCCUUCUGUGGCAUGAACUUGAAGAUAAAAACUGGUGGUCAAGAGAGCCUCCCAGUGGCUGCUGCGUGGCACAGCAGGACAGGCAGUCCAAAGGGGCUUGACAGCUAGCUGUCAAGUAUUCCCAUAUUUUAGUGCCUUUUUAAGGAACACACAUGCAUACAAAGGGUAGUCCUUUUCAUAUCCCCAAUUUUUCACAUCUCCAUUAUCAUUUCAUUAUUCAUUUCUGUCUUACAUAAUCUGCAGCUUAGUCAAUUCUUUUGGUUUUAAGGUGGGAAGACCUGCCUGUGUCUGUAUCCCUGGGGCUCCUCUAAACCUGCCGGUUUGUGAGAUGAUUUCCUGGUUUCUUUUACAUGUAUCAAAUGUCUACCCUACAAAGAACUGGAUGGAGUUAACAGCUGAGCAAAGAUGAGAGAGGAACCUACUUUCAUUUGGGAAAAACAGGACCAUACCAUGUGUACAAGACAGAAAUUUCUACAGAUGCUUUACGAAAGAAAAAAUAUCUUACCAAAGUUAUUACUGCACUUUCAGCAGUUAGCUGUGUGGCACUACAAACAGUAUGAACAAAUCUGUAAAUGAAUUUGUGUUCAGGAUCAUGCUCGAAGUAUUCCUCUGGAACCUUUUCUCGCUGAAAGGAGAAAAAAUGCAAUUUAUGUAUCCAUGGAAGAAAAAUACUUAAAAGUACCCUUAAGAUAGCAGUCUUCACACUUGGGCCCACGUGCCCCUUAAAAUAAUUUUGGUUGGGUGACAUGUCUUGUAGUCUUUUAAAUAUAAACAAUGGGAUCCUAAAAUACCACAGUGAUCCAGUACUCACCACCAUUCAUUAAAGAAAAAUACAGGCACAACCGCAGAAAAUUUAUGUAUUUCCACGUUCCUCCCCACAGAAUUCGAACCAAAUGUAAACUAUUGGGUUGGCCAAAAAGUUCAUUUGGUUUUAAGUAAAAAUAAAAGACACAGUUUUCAUUUUCACCAAGCAUUUUAUUGAACAAUAUAUUCACUAACCAAACAAACUUUUUGGCCAACCCAAUAUUUUUAGGCUCAAAAGUCUUGCUGAUCACCAUAUGUCAUACUUUUCUGUAAUCAACUUUGAAAACACAUUCCCAGUGUCCUGUAACCAUAGGGCUCUAAGAAUGCGCUGUCCUGUACAGCAGUCGCCAGCCACGUGUGGCUACAGAGCACCCAAAGAAGUGAAUUUUAAAACUUUGUCAUUUUAAUUCGUUUAAAAUUUAAACAGUUUUCUAAUUUUCUUCUUAGAGGCCUUAUCAUAUUAGGUUUAUUUACAAAUAUUUAUAUUGUUUGAUGCUAUGGAAAAUCAUCCUUUAAAAAGAUACAUUUUCUGUUACUUGGGUAUGUUUACUUACCUGCUCACUAUUCAUACAAAGUGCAACUCGGUUCAUAUCCAUCAACCCCUUAUACAACACGCCUUCGGGAAAAUGACUAGACACAACAUGGCGUGGGGAAGAAGACUUAAAGGAAGAUGAAUUUGACUUCGAGCUGGAGGAAGUAAUUUUCUUCUAGUACUUAAUUUCAAAGCAAAUCAGCAUGAAAUAAACACAACUGUAUAAGAGAAAAAUACCACUUCAAUAAAACUGACACUUACUGUGAGUGGAUGUAAUCUCUCAUCAAAAAUAUCCAAGGAUCUAUCUGCAUCUCUAUAAAAUAAGAAUGUGCAUUUAAAAAAUUAAUUCAGGAGUUACUAUCUUAGUAAAAUAUCUGCUAGGAGUAGAGAGAGGGGUAGAGGAAGCUUAACCUUCAACAAAGCAAACAGUUUUAUAAAUUCUUCUCCUGGAUUCCACCCUUAGAAAGGUUUCCUGACCUAUUUUUACUCAGCACAUCAAGUUCCGUGAAAUCUUUUCUACAACAACCAGCCAGAGUUGCCUCUAUAAGCACUGACCCUCCCUAACAGGCAAUGCUAGUAAACCAAUAUAUUUUCACUCCUCUAACCUCACACUGGAAUAUGCAAGAACAUUUUAUAAAGCAGUGGUGGUGGGCAAUAAAUUCUUCUAACUUCAA